GGUGAACGCUGGCGGUAGGCCUAACACAUGCAAGUCGAACGGCAGCACAGUAAGAGCUUGCUCUUACGGUUGGCGAGUGGCGGACGGGUGAGGAAUACAUCGGAAUCUACUUUUUCUUGGGGGAUAACGUAGGGAAACUUACGCUAAUACCGCAUACGACCUACGGGUGAAAGCAGUGGAUCUUCUGACCUUGCGCGAUUGAAUGAGCCGAUUUCGGAUUAGCUAGUUGGCGUGGUAAAGGCCCACCAAGGCGACGAUCCGUAGCUGGUCUGAGAGGAUGAUCAGCCACACUGGAACUGAGACACGGUCCAGACUCCUACGGGAGGCAGCAGUGGGGAAUAUUGGACAAUGGGCGCAAGCCUGAUCCAGCAAUACCGCGUGGGUGAAGAAGGCCUUCGGGUUGUAAAGCCCUUUUGUUGGGAAAGAAAAGCAGCAGGUUAAUACCCCGAUGUUCUGACGGUACCCAAAGAAUAAGCAACGGCUAACUUCGUG
rnacentral:rRNA from 1 species